rnacentral:rRNA from 1 species
UACGGGGGGGGCAAGCGUUGUUCGGAAUUACUGGGCGUAAAGGGCGCGUAGGCGGCCUUCUAAGUCGGACGUGAAAUCCCUCGGCUCAACCGAGGAACUGCGUCCGAUACUGGAGGGCUUGAAUCCGGGAGAGGGAUGUGGAAUUCCAGGUGUAGCGGUGAAAUGCGUAGAUAUCUGGAGGAACACCGGUGGCGAAGGCGGCAUCCUGGACCGGUAUUGACGCUGAGGCGCGAAAGCUAGGGGAGCAAACGGG